UACGUAGGGGGCAAGCGUUGUCCGGAUUUAUUGGGCGUAAAGCGCUCGCAGGUGGUUCGAUGCGUCGUGCGUGAAAGACCCCGGCUCAACUGGGAGGGGCCGUGCGAAACUGCCUGGCUUGAGGUCGGAAGGGGAAAGUGGAAUUCCGGGUGUAGUGGUGGAAUACGUAGAUAUCCGGAGGAACACCAGCGGCGAAGGCGGCUUUCUGGUCCGAUUCUGACGCUGAGGCGCGAAAGCGUGGGGAGCGAGUCCGG
rnacentral:rRNA from 1 species